GUUGCAGAGCAUAAGGGCAGACGGUGGAUGGCUCGACAGAGCGUGCCGAUGAAGGACGUAGCAGCCUGCGAUAAGCUCCGGGAAGGUGGCAAGCAACCUGUGAUCCGGAGAUUUCCGAAUGGGUUAACCUAAUGCGGGGAAUGCCGCAUUGGCGUGCGCUGAAUACAUAGGCGUACGUUGGGCACCUGGGGAAGUGAAACAUCUCAGUACCCAGUGGAAAAGAAAAAGACUACUAAUUAUCUCACUCGUGAUUCCGGGCGACCGGACAAACGGGUGAACAUAAUUAGACCAUUCCCUAAGUAGUGGCGAACGAAAAGGGAACAGCCCAAACCUCACAUGUGAACCCAUCAUGACCAUUCGUGACUUCGGUUGCGUCUGCACUGGUGGCGAAAGGCGGGAGCCGUUGCAUGCGAGGGGUUGUAAGGCGAUCGCGUCGUCCGCUUCCGAGGACGGGCACGAUGUGUGAUGCGUAGUGGAAUCCGCUGGAAAGCGGAACCAAAGAGGGUGAUAGUCCCGUACGCGAAACGUUAAUCACACGUGUGGCGAUCGAUCUUGAGUACCACGAGACUCGUGAAAUCUUGUGGGAACCUGCCGCGACUAUGUGGCAAGGCUAAAUACGCGCUCCGAUCGAUAGUGAACAAGUACCGUGAGGGAACGCUGAAAAGCACCCCGGUGAGGGGAAUGAAAUAGUAUCUGAAACCGUCUGCUUACAAGGAGUCAGAGCCCGCAAGGGUGAUGGCGUUCCUAUUGAAGAAUGAGCCAACGAGUGUGCUACGUGUCGCUUGGUUAAGCCCUACGGGGCGCAGCCGCAGUGAAAGCAAGCGUUAACCCGCGUGUUCUCACUCUGUAUUCGAGGCAUCCUUAACGGGUGCAGCGAGUACAUGGUGAGAUGGUGGCACGUACACGACCCGAAACCGGGUGAUCUACCCAUGACCAGGAUGAAGCGGGUGUAACAACCCGUGGAGGUCCGAACCCACGUGCUGUGCAAAACACGGGGAUGAGUUGUGGGUAGCGGAGAAAUUCCAAUCGAACUCGGUAAUAGCUGGUUCUUCCUGAGAUAGCUUGUGGGCUAGCGCUGGUUAACAAUGCAUCGGGGGUAGAGCACUGAAUGGGAUCGCCGCCGCAAGGUAGGCGUCCUAACCAAACUCCGAAUACCGAUGCAUAUUCCCGGCAGUCAGACGAUGGGGGCUAAGCUCCAUGCGUCGAGAGGGGAACAGCCCAGAUCUCAAACUAAGGCCCCUAAAUCGUCGUUGAGUGUAGAAGGUGGUGGAGAGGCUUAUACAACCAGGAGGUUGGCUUAGAAGCAGCCAUCCUUUAAAGAAAGCGUAACAGCUCACUGGUCAAGCUUCUCCGCGCCGAAAAUGUACCGGGGCUAAACGACGUGCCGAAGUUGAGGGUUCCAGCCCUUUUAGGGCGGAGCGGUAAGGAAGCAUUCGUAUUGCGCUGAAGUCAGGUCGUGAGGCCUGGUGGAGCGGUACGAAGUGAGAAUGUUGGCAUAAGUAGCACAAAGAAGGGUGAGAGUCCCUUCCGCCGUAAACCCAAGGUUUCCUGGGCAACGCGAAUCGUCCCAGGGUGAGCCGGGAGCUAAGGUGAGGCCGAAAGGCGUAAUCGAUGCACAGCAGGUUAAUAUUCCUGCGCUCUGUUUGGAACCGAAGCGGGGACGCUUCGUGAAAUUUCCCGCGCCCUAUGGCUAUGGCGUUGGGCGCAUCCUGGUAGCCGGUCGGCAAAUCCGCCGGCGACAUCCAGGGUGUGAUCGCAAGGCUGCCGCAAGGUGGCCGAGGGGAAAGGACACGGAGCCAAGAAAAGCCGCUAGGACUAUUCCAAGCAGACCCGUACCGGAAACCGACACAGGUGGGUGGGUGCGAUAAUGCACCAAGGCGUACGAGAGAAACUAGCCUAAGGAACUCGGCAAAACAGUGGCCGUAACUUCGGGAUAAGGCCUGGUUUUCCCCGGGAGGGGAAGACCCGCAGCGAAAGACGUCAACCGACUGUUUACCAAAAACACAGGUCCGUGCUAAAUCGAAAGAUGAUGUAUACGGGCUGAUGCCUGGCCAGUGUCCGAACGUUAAGGAAGGGGGUCAUGAUCGCAAGAUCGGCAGCCUUCGACUGAAGCGCGGAUGAACGCCGGCGAUAACUAUAAUCGUCCUAAGGUAGCGAAAUUCCUUGACGGGUGAGUUCCGUCCUGCACGAAUGGCAUAACGAGUUGACGACUCUCUCAGGCUAGUACUCGGCGAAAUUGCAAGAUGAGUGAAGAUGCUCAUUACCCGUGGUUAGACGAAAAGACCCCGUGAAGCUUUACUACAACUUGCUUUUGGGUCCAUGUUCCGCAUGUUGAGCGUAGGUGGGAGCCGCAAGGCGCCAAUGAGACACCACCCUUGCGUUACGUGGAUUCUAACCGGCACCCGUGAUCCGGGAGUCGGGACAGAAGCUGGUGGGUAGUUUACCUGNNNNNNNNNNNNNNNNNNNNNNNNNNNNNNNNNNNNNNNNNNNNNNNNNNNNNNGUCGGCUUGGCGCGGAUGGAAAUCGCGCUGGACGUGCAAACGCAGAAGCCGGCUUUACUGCAAGACCUACAAGUCGCGCAGUCGCGAAAGCGGAAGUUAGUGAUCCGACCAUUCAAUAUAGGAUGGUGGAAGCUCAUCGGACAAAAGCUACUCCGGGGAUAACAGGCUGAUCGCCUCCAAGAGUCCAUAUCGACGAGGCGGUUUGGCACCUCGAUGUCGGCUCAUCGCAUCCUGGGGCUGGAGAAGGUCCCAAUGGUUUGGCUGUUCGCCAAUUAAAGCGGUACGUGAGCUGGGUUCAGAACGUCGUGAGACAGUUCGGUCUCCUAUCUACCAUGGGCGUCGAACGUUGAAGGGACGCUUCCCUAGUACGAGAGGACCGGGAAGCAUGAACCUCCUGUGUACGGGUUGUCCUGCCAAGGGCAUUGCCCGGUAGCGGUGUUCAGAUCGGAUAAGCGCUGAAAGCAUCUAAGCGCGAAGCCGACCCUGAGAUAAGCGUUCAUCUGAGACCCCUGCGAGACCAGCAGGUUGAUAGGCCGUAGGUGGAAGCGUGGUAACACGUGCAGCCGAGCGGUACUAAUAGGUCGAGCUCUGCAGCCA
rfam:Candidatus Thrbacteria bacterium RIFCSPHIGHO2_01_FTLL_63_20 rifcsphigho2_01_scaffold_334, whole genome shotgun sequence.